CGUAGGGUGCAAGCGUUAAUCGGAAUUACUGGGCGUAAAGCGUGCGCAGGCGGUUAUAUAAGACAGAUGUGAAAUCCCCGGGCUCAACCUGGGAACUGCAUUUGUGACUGUAUAGCCAGAGUACGGUAGUGGGGGAUGGAAUUCCGCGUGUAGCAGUGAAAUGCGUAGAUAUGCGGAGGAACACCGAUGGCGAAGGCAAUCCCCUGGACCUGUACUGACGCUCAUGCACGAAAGCGUGGGGAGCAAACAGGAUUAGAUACCCUGGUAGUCCACGCCCUAAACGAUGUCAACUGGUUGUUGGGUCUUCACUGACUCAGUAACGAAGCUAACGCGUGAAGUUGACCGCCUGGGGAGUACGGCCGCAAGGUUG
rnacentral:rRNA from 1 species